GCUCGGAUGGUGAAAUUGGUAGACACAGAGCACUUAAAAUGCUCCGACCUACGGUCUUGCGGGUUCGAGUCCCGCUCCGAGCACCA
rnacentral:tRNA from 3 species